CCUUUUGACUGAGUCUAAGUUUUACAGAACAAAUCCUUUUAUUAAGGGGAUUUGUUCCGUGAAGUUUGGAUUCAGUCAAAGGGCUGCACUUGAGGAU
ensembl:miRNA